CUCCUGUGGUUGACAACAUCAAGGGUAGCAGGGCAUGAGUUUACGUGACGCGCGUGAAGUGACAGACGGACCGACGGCCAUUCGAGCGGUCAACACCCCACCCCCGAGCCCAGGAACGACACGUGCUGCAGCCCGAACCCCCUAAGCUGGUAUUGCGAUCUCUUUCCCCACACAUUCUGUCCAUGAUCCAUGUAAUCAACCGUGGAGCAAACGGAUCCCCGCGACCGCAACACCCCGCUGAAAUCGGCAUGUACUGGCUUUCUGGCUCGACGCCGUUCUGACGCACUGAUCGCCUAGCCAGCAUCCUUAUUUGCCAUCCCACAUGUCACUUGCUGCGUUCCCCUUCCCGUCGCGCGAUGAUCGCGCCGAAACUAAAUUUGCGCACCUGCACAGCGGCCAGGGGCCAGCCAGCGCCCUGCCACGCCAGCUUGGUGGCCAGGGGCACGUCAAUAAUGAUCUCCUUGUCAGUGGGCUUAGCCUCGCCCUUGACGGCAAUCAGGUACUGGCGACCGACGUAGCCGAUGUAGCCAGCAACGUAGAGGAAGCCAAAGGUGGGGAUCUGCAUGGCAAGCGAAUCGAGUGAGCUGCUGUCCACAGCGAGGAACACAACGCUGAACUUACGAAGACCUCGCCAGCGUGGCCAUACUUCAGGGCCAGGCCGGGGUCAGCAAUCAGGUGGGGCAGACCGUCGUUGCCGCACAGCAGGCCGGCCUUAGCGUAGUUGGCGAAGCGGGCCUUGGUGCGCUCCAUGGUGGCCUUCAGGGCCACGGCGGGGGCGCUGUCCGCCUCGUACUGCGCGCGCAAGCAAAGAAUCGGCAAGUUGAAUAGGAGGAUCACCAUAUCGCUUGCCUUGGAAGCCCGAGACCCCGGUUAAAAUAUUCACCUGCUUCAGGCGCUUCUCCAGGGUCUUCAGCUCCUUCUUCUCCAGCUUGGCGUAAGCCUUGCUCUCGGAGCAGGGGGUCAGGCCCGCGAUGUCGGCCAUCGCCGCGGAGGGGGCAGACAGCGACACGGCAGCGGCCAGAGCGGACGCAGCCAGGGCAGUGCCGACCUUGGAGGCGGUCUCGUUCUUCUGGGCCUGGCAGGCGACGCGCAGAGCACGACGCGACGAAGGCGCCACGCGCGAGGAAGCCUUGACGGCCGGGUUGCGCAUAGUGAGGGCCAUUUCUGCAAGUUCGGACUGGUAAGCUGGUCGCGACAAAGUAUACCUGUGCUCGCAGCGGUGCUUUUGCCGUCGCCCCAAAAAAUUUGCAUGGGGCGAUCUCAAUGCGAGAGAUCUCCCGACCUUUUUCUCCGCGAACACCCACGCAUUUCCUUGUUCAAGGGCUAAUCCAAAUACCUAAAUGGAUUCUUUAACAGUUAUAGAAGCUCGGGAGCCAAACCGGAAGAGCGGGAGGAAAUCGUCGUCGGAAGGCCCGGCACGCUGGGCUUCUGCUCUCCCUCGCCCUGGCUGCCGGGACCCGGCUGGUGGUCACGGCUGGUCCCGCUAAGGAUGAGCCCAUGGCUCCAAACCCGAAAUCAAAGCACACUUGCAGGUCAACAUGCUUCUCCAGGCUCUGCAGAUGAUUAUUAAGUGACCGGCAGUGCCGUGGGCAGUGCGGGACAUGCCGGAUUGCAUGUCCGAAACACACCUUGAUUCCAUGGGUCAAGUCCCGAGACCCACCAAGCUCUGCAUCCUGUGUAGUUAUUGUGGGACUAUGAAACUGCAACUGGAUCGGCAUACAAGCUUAUUUCACUAGCGUUUGCACGUAACGGCCGGGCGCACGGCGGCAUCUUGCGCAGUGGGGCAACCUGUUGCCGUUCUGGUCCAGAUCGAUCCGUUGCAGCUGUGUGCAGUCGCCACGAAAGCAUCAUCGGUUGCUAGCGCUCGUCACGGCUGCUAAGGUCGUGAGGGUUUGCAUUUGCACGAGGGGUAGCGGGGGAAAGUUGCUUCCCUGCCAGCGCUCGUGGCCCCUGCCCCAUCCCCGGCCGUUCGCGCCGAAGAUUGCAUUGGUUACAAGAGGGACCUGCUGACGCAGUUCACGAGCCAGUGACGUGGAGAACGAACACCCUGCUCUGGACCCCAGGGGCGUGCCGCCUGCAGCGCCGUCGGCCUACUCUAGCUCUAGUAGGCUUGCUCCCAUAGGACGCUCCUCCCGCCAUACCGAACAUGUUACUAGGUGCCAUCACUCCACCUCCUCUUCCAUUAUGACACUUCGUGGUCUGUUCAGCUUCAUACUUCCAUCUGCUCUUCGCUCAAUCCAAGGGUGGCCUGGCGAGACUCGGUCCCACGCCGAAGGUCCGGCCUCUUGUCGGGCACAUCAAUCUCAGAUACCGGUACGCCCCAGUGCACCCACAGCAACGCGCACAGAUACGUGCAAAGAUUCUGCUUGCCGAAGGCCCGUUCUACUCGACGCCGCGCGUCUUAGUCUCCAAGUUUGAGGCGCAUGCCGAGCCCGUCCCUGGGAGUUUAGCCGUGGAGGUAGCUGCCGAGACCGCGUGCAUAGGUGCGGAAUGUGUGAAGUGGAGGGACAGAGCCUAAAAUUGAAGACGUGUCUCAAUCGUUAAACGGUACAGGCUUGAUCUACUUGGCAAGCAGCAGCCGGUCACACGCAUUCUGGCGGCCGAGGGCGAGGGAGGCGGGAGCAGGAAGGCGAUAUCACGGUGCGUAUGCGGAUACAAGAUGCGCGGUGCGUGAGUGCAACAUAGUGACUGGCAAUGCACUUAGUAAUCUCAGACGCGCCACUAGAGCCUCUGGCUCCGUAACCGUGUUACACACGCAAUCAGCCACACGCUUGAAUGCACUGCCAUAAUCUGGCUGGGGUUAGCACAUAAACAGCAGCGUCGUCUGACACGGUUCGUACCUUGCUUCUCAGGCUGCCCUUUCCCUCGUACCCGGCACGAGACCCUCUUAACCUCUGACGUCCCUCCCGGUUCCGUCCCUUGGCGGGCACGGCCAUCAGCUGGCGGGUGACAAGGGCACGGCACGCAACUCCCUUACAUCAAGUGCGGCAGUCGGUGGUCGGUGGCACCCCCCCGGGUGCCAAGCCACCGACCAUCCCCAAUCGCCCAUCCAUUCAUGUAGCCUGCCACCUGCCGACCAUGUCACUGACCCCCCUGCCACUGUGUGUGUCACCUGUCACGCGACACCGCGCGGCGCGCGCCAACAAGACACCCUGCAUGGCGCACCCAUGGCGGCACCGCGGCACCUACCGCGGUGCUACGGCGCCACGGCGCCCAGCAAUCUAGGAGCGCGUCCUGCGCACCGGUGCGCACGAGGCCACAUUCCACAACCGCAAUCCCCUCAGCUGCAGCACAUCGCGGCGAUCGGCAAGCCGUAGGUAGGUCCCGGUGCAGCGAGGUUUGUCACGCAAUGAUUCAGAUACAAAGCCGGGGGCACGGCUGCACAAUUCAGGUGGCGCCUGGCGCCUAGGCGCUCUGGUCCACAGCCCAGCAAAGCGGCAGUAGCCCUUCACAUGCAUUCGCGGGGCGACUGCUCUAGUGCACCGUAAUUGCUGGUAUAGCGGCUGAGAACCGGACUGUGUGGCUUUUACAAUCGGCGCGACCUGUGCCAAGGGCGUGCGAAGGCAUGCACGCUCUGCAGGAGCCGCGGUGGGCCCUGCGCGCCUGCGUGUCAACCGAUUUCGAAUAUCCCCCAGGGGCGCUGCCUUCCGGACUUGGGGUGGUAAGCUAAUGUCAUCUGACACAGCGCUGGGCGGGGCCGCAGGGGGAGGGGGGCACCGGCCGAGGUGCGCAUUUCGACCAGACUCCGACACGGGCUCCAAAGGGCGGGACUUUUAUCGACUCUGGGCGCUAUGGUUGCGCAGAUCUACAACUGUGACAUAUGAAUGCGGAUGUUACAGAGGGGACAGUCCCAGCACCCGAAGACGCCGAGCCAUCACAUGCUAUCAGGGCCCAUCUGGACUCCACCAACCCCGACUUUGCUGCAAACCCUCCCGCGGUCAAAGUCCAUGUGACUCCGCGCACAGUGAUCUACAACUGUGACAUAUGGCUGCACUGUUCAUAUGGCUGCACUGUUCGCCGCAGGAGGCGGUGGCAGGCCUGCCACGGUUCGUGCCGGCCGGAAGGACCCAUCAGUCUCCUCUUGGCGGACAAAAUUCCUCAGCGUCUGCAUAGCGCACUUCAUACAGAUAACAUCGUAGGAUGCGUGAACACGCGCCUUGAAGGGGAGGCGCCGAUUGGGCAAUCGUUUUGUUUGUGAGAACGCACUUAUCAUAGCCCGCUUUGUUUAUGUUUAGCACAGCGUUGGCUUGAUCUACCGUUACUGGUAGGAAAAAUGCUGCCAGCGCUCGUGUCAGCGCGACACAUCGGAAGCAGCGUGGUGAGCGCCAGUCUUGCCGCUGGCGCUGUGCGCUGCUCCAAAGCAUUCGGGGCUAUAGUCGCUACUGGUGCAAGCGACGUUAGUCCAGCGGGCGAGGUGCACCCGGCAUCAGUGCCACACCCAGCAGCAUCGGCCACGCCGGUGUGCGGUUCGGGUUGCGAGCUAGUUAUUGAUGCAGGCUGCUCCCCGCACGAUAGCCAUCCAGCUGUGGCUGGUGAGUAGCCUUCGUGUGGGACCUGGCUUGGUGCAGGGUGUCGGUCCGUCAGGCGCUGCGGAUGUGAGGGGCCAUUGCGAAAUCCGUCUCCUGCUGUCGGUCUCAUUACACACCACGGCCCUCUUUCAUGCAACCCACUUCACAGGCCCCAGACUUUCAUCUUUACAGAGCCCCACCACCACCACCACCACCACCUCCACCUUAUCUCUUCAACGUCGCCUGCACCAGCUUCGGCACCCGCACCCGCACCAGCACCAGCACCAGCAGCACCGACACUUGGCAACAGCGGCCGCCGCUGCUGCUGUGGGCUCAGGGUCCGGGACCCCCAGGCUGACGGUCGGGCCACGAAGGCUGUCUCCUGAGGCCGAUCAAUUCCAGCGGCACUGGUACGGCGAGGUACGUGCGGCGUACAGCGGCGGCACGCGGGCUCUAGGGCGUGUGCGAUUGGGGAGGGGGGGGGGCGCGGUGCGCACGGCAGCACGCGUGCGGCUGCACUGUACGACUGCUCUUUCACGACCUCUCAAGCUCCAACAUGCGCGAAACCCAACCCUCUCCCAAUCUCCCGUACACUUCGUGGCCGUUUACGCGUGCACAGGUGAACACAGGCAUGGGUCGCAGCGCGGCGGCACCGGCCUCAGCGGAGGAGCAGGCGGCCUUGCACGCCAAGCAGUCGCAGGUGCGUGUUGGUGUUUGAGGUGCGUGUUGGUGUUGGUGUGAACAGUUUGGUACCGUAGUGUUUGCGCGGUCGCAGCUGGAUUUCGUGCGUGCGCAGCACCUCAGGAGUUGCUCACGGGGUUGCUCGUGGUUUAGCCACUUGUGAACCCGAAAAAAUGCAUUACCGCACUUCAUAUUGUCUGCCUGUCUGUUUCUCACCGCAGGCAAUUCGGCUGUUGGUGGGCUGGCUGCGGGAGCGCCGAGCCACUGCUGACGCCGCCGCUGCUACUGCUGUGGGCGGCCACGGGCAGGCGGGCCCGAGCCGCAGCACGUACGACAUCGAUUGGCGGCAGGCGAAACGGGCUAUGCAGGUCAUCCGCGAGUGAGUGGUGCAUGCCGGUUUGCGGUGUGGGUGGCCUUGGAACUUAUGUGGACAGUUGCCUUGCCGUGCCUGCACCCGUGUGAAUCAUUCACUCCGUCUUUCAUGUCCGGAAACCCCCCUGUCUCCCGGGGCGCAGCCUGGAGUACGCCCGGCCCGACAAGCGGCGGCGCUGGCAGCAGCACCAGCGCAACGGCGGCGGGCGGCAGGCGGAGGCGGCGGAGGCGGCGGCGGUGACGGGCGGCAGCGGCCACCUCAGCCUGGAUGAAAUGAUUGAGGCGGUGGAGGUGGGCGCCAGGGGGUGGGGGGCUAGGGGCUGGGAGGGGGGCGUGGCGGCAGAGGAAGCGUGUGUCCGAAAAGGAAGCGUGUGGGGGGGGGGGGAGGAGGGUGGUGUGGGGUGUGUGUGGGGGUGGGUGGGGGUGGGGGGUGGGGUCGGGGGUGGGGGGUGGGGUCGGGGGUGGGGGGGGGGGAUACCAGCCAAACUAAACCGAACGAGGGUGGGUGGGGGAUGUGUUUAUAUGUUUGUGUAUGUGUGUGUGUGUGGGGGGUGCUUAGGUGGCAGCAAACCGAUCGUUUGCAACCAUCAAACCAACUGAAUGGAGAUUCAUGCCGAACCACAUCGGCCGAUUCCGACACGUCAAGUCCCGCCAUCCUUAACUCCAACAUCCCUCACCCCACCUCCAUCAUUUUUGCCACCCACCCGCUCCCACGCACCGCUCCCGCAUAGAUGCUGGCUGCUGACGCGCCCUCCAUGGGCUUCGCGCUCCUCGACCAAAACUACGAGCUCCUGCUGGACGUGAGCGCGGGCGCGUGCGUGUGUGUGUGUCACUGUGUGUGUGUGUGUGUGUGUGUGUGUGUGUGUGUGUGUGUGUGUGCGUGUGUGUGUGUGUGUGUGUGUGUGUGCGUGCGUGCGUGUGUGUGUGUGUGUGCGUGCGUGCGUGUGUGUGUGUGUGUGUGUGUGUGUACGUGUGCGUGUGUGCGUGUGUGUGUGUGUGUGUGUGUGUGUGUGUGUGUGUCUGGCCGCGUGUCUCUGCCCCACCCACACGGCCGUACCCGGCUCCCUCCCCCUACCCCACCGCAUCCCAUUGCGCCUUGUCACAACUUCACUGCUUCUACGGUUACGGUAAUCAUCAAUGCGGCCCCGCCCCGCGCCACCUCCUCGGCACCUCCUCCACAGAUGUACGUUCAAAAGGCGGAGGCUGCGGAGGGCGAGGCGGGCGAGGCGGUCCGGUCGGGGCUGGCGGCGCGAGCGGCGGCGGUGCAGCAGCAGAUGACGCAGCAGGUGGGCGCGGCGGGGGGAUGAGGGGGCGGCCGUGGGGGGGGGCUGUGUAGAUACCAGCCCAAACUAAACCAAACCCAAUGUAUAGAGCGAGGAGGAGAGGGGUUACAUUGCACGGUUAGUCAAGUGGCGGGGUGGUGGGGUGGGGUGAGGGGGUGGCUACGUGCGGAUGCGCGGGUGUGUGGGUGCGCGGGCAAGUACGGGAUGCACAGGAGGCGUCGUGCAUGUCGUGUCGUGUCUACGUGUCGUGUCGUGCUUCGGGGCUCUUGCACACGCCCACCUUCGACCCACAUCAGCCUUGGUCCCCCUGGGCCUGCCAUUGCGAGUCCGUACCCGCCCACCCCCCCACGCGGUGUGGGCUCGGGCGUCUUGUGGGUCCACGUGCCCCGUGCCGGCUUGCUCCCUGUUGUGUGUCUGGGUGGUCGGGAAUGGAAAAUAUGAACCCGCCUACCUGUGUUGGGACCCACCCCCGCCUACCUACCUCGGGACCCCACCCUCGCCCCACGACCUCACCCCACCCACGCAGUUGGUCCGGGUGACGCCGGCGGCCCUGGGCAGCCUACUCACCUGCCUGGCCCUCAGCGGCGGCGGCGGCGGCGAUGGUGGCAGGGGCGGCGGCAGGGGCGGCGGCGGCGGCAGCGGUGGCGGAGGGCGCAUGAGCGCCGCGGAGCGGCUGGCGGCGGGCGUGAGGUGCGUGUGUGUGUGUGGGGGGGGGGGGUACAUUCAUGACUAGUGAACCAAAUCCCCUCGCACAUCGCUGCUCGCAGUCCCGUGUGUGCUGCUGCGCUCCAUCUGGUCUGCACAGCUGACAUCCCUCCCCCCUUCACUGCUCCCCCCCUUUGGCUUCAGUAUAUUUGUGGUUGGGAUGGACCAAUCCUCCCCCAUCCGCACAUACGUUUUGUUGUGGGUGUUUUCUAACACACACACACACACACACACACACACAUGACACGCACACACACACACACAUGACACGCACAGGCUGGUGGACGCGCACCUGCCUGUGCUGACCGCCUCGGCGGGUGGCGGCGGCGGCGGCGGCGGGUUGUCGGCACUGGCGGCGCCGCGGCUGCGUGAGCGGCUGGAGGACCUCAUGGUGACAGCGCUGGAGCAGGUGGGGGCGUGUGUGUGUGUGUGUGUGUGUGUGUGUGUGUGUGUGUGUGUGUGUGUGUGUGUGUGUGUGUGUGUGUGUGUGUGUGUGUGUGUGUGUGUGUGUUGCAAGCUUAAAACCCGGGUGGGUGGGUAGGUGGGAGUUGCAGAUACGAGCCUAAACUAAACCGAAUCAAACGCAAAAGAGCGAGGAGGAGAGCGUGGCCUAUGGGGGGAAUGAAUGGGCGGGGCGGGGGUGCGGUUGAAAAUACCAGCCCAAACUGGGGGGCGGCGAUGGGGAAGGAGGCGGAGGAUGGGUGAGGGGGGAUGUCAAACCCACCCCCAAGGGGUAAGGGCGAAGCGAGUCAGGGACAGCAUCACGCCCACUCUUCACUUGUGGUUUUACAGAGACACACACAUCCCACACCCCUAUCUCGUGUUUCGUAACACCCCACACGCACACACGCGCGCCCCACACACGCCCCCCCCCCCACACACACACACACACAGCGUGACUGGGCCGCCUACGCCAAGCUGCGCUCCGUGCUGCUCAGCCGUGCCCGCGAGCCGCCGCCGCGCCGAGUGCUGGCAGCGGCGCUGGCGGCGGCGGCAGCCACCAACGGGGAUGGCGAUGGCGGCGGCGGCGGCGGCGGCGGCGACGGCCCGGUGGCGGCGGCGGCGGAGCUGGGGCAGGGAGGUGUUGGCGGCGGCGGCGGCGGCAGUGGCGGCGGCGCGGGCGGAUGGCGGGUGGCGGCGGCGCGGGAUCAGGCGGCUGAUGCGCUGGAGCUGUUGGAGGUGGGGGGGGGCAGGUCGUGAGUGUGUGUGUGUGUGUGUGUGUGUGUGUGUGUGUGUGUGUGUGUGUGUGUGUGUGUGUGUGUGGUGGGUGAGGUGGGUGAGGGUUUUUGCUCGGCUGCGACUGGCGGGUAUCCGGACACGCCCUGGGCGGCACGGGCGUGUCUGUCAUGGGGUCCCACCACCACACACUCGUACAUCCAUAACACACGUGCACGUCACACACGUGUACACACACACGCACAGGCACGCCACGCGCUCGCAAUGGCACACCGCCAGCGCGAGCAGCAGCAGCAGCAGCAGCAGCAGCAGUCAGCGGACGGUGACAGGAGGAGGCUGGCGGCGGCAAGGUGGCGGGAGCAGGCGGAGGAGGUGGGGCGGGGGCGGUGUGGGAGGCGGGAGGGGAGGGCGGCGCUGGGUGAUAGGACGGUGGGGUUGGGGGCUUCUGCGUCGCUGGCAGUGGUGAAGGCAAUGUCGUGAAAUGCAGAAGAAAGGGACGAACACGCACACAUACACUCACGCACACGCGCAUUCGGGUUCCUUUGGCACACGCCGCACACACACACGCUUGGUGUUGUUGUUGUUUCUAACACGCCCGCCCGCCCGCCCGCCCCCCAGGCGCUGCUGGACGCGGAGGAGCGGGGGCUGGUGGCGGUGCUGGGCGCGGCGGCGGCGGCGGCGGAUGACGCCCUGGCGGACCGGGUGAGAGCAGGGCGGUGUGCGUGCGUGUGGGGCAGAGGAGCUGUCUGUGUGCGUGUGUGUUUGUGUUUGUGUGUGUGUUCGUGUGUGUGUGUGUGUGUGUGUGUGUGUGUGUGUGUGUGUGUGUGUGUGUCAACAAAAGCAACAAGGAGCCGUGUGUGUAUCACUUAUGUGGGGUAGGGGUUGGGGAAGAUGUAUCCGUGAUUCUCAUUCAGGAAGGCACUGAUGCUGACGGAUGCAAACCACGACAGGCGAUAGCAGGCGAGGGCGGGCGCGAGGGACCCCCGGCGUGUGUUGCCCACUUUGCGGUUAGUGGUUAGCACACGCCGUCAGUGACUAACGCCAACCGCCACACCGCCAACCCACAAGCAAUGCACCCGCCGGGAUUCGCACGUGAUGUGUCGUACAGGCGUACGAGCGGCUGCGCUGGACGGCGGCGUGGCGGCUGCAGGUGCAGGCGGCGGCGGCGGCGGCGGCGGGUGACAAGGCGGCGGGCGACAAGGCGGCGGCACUUGGCGCGGCCGCAAUCGACGCGGCGAGUGAGUCACACACGGGUGUCGCCUACCGUAUUUGCAG
rnacentral:lncRNA from 1 species